rnacentral:lncRNA from 1 species
UGUCCUUCUUCUUAUCCCUGAACUGAUCCACCAGCCUCCUGACAAGGUGGAUAGCUUCUGUAUUGGAGUGACCUGGCAUGAAACCGAACUGGUUCACAGAUAUAGAUGUCAUUUCCCCUUUGUUCUUGUACAAGGGCACCACUGUACUCCACCUCCACUCCUCCGCCAUCCUUUCGAUCCUGAAAAUCGCAUUGAAUAACCUAGAGAGCCACUCCACUCCUGACCUACCCAUGCAUUUUCAGAACUCCACCGGGAUCUCG